AGACAGAACUGCCUGCUUUUGCUUCC
rnacentral:piRNA from 1 species